AGGGUUCGACUCCGGAGAAAAUGCCUGAGAAACGGCGUUUACAUCCAAGGAAGGCAGCAGGCGCGAAAAUUACCCACUCUCAGUACGAGGAGGUAGUGACGAGAAAUGACAAGAUCUAGUCCUUCGGGGCUGGAUCAUUGGAAUGGUUUGAUUUUAAAACCAUUAAAGAGUAUCAAUGAGAGGGCAAGUCUGGUGCCAGCAGCCGCGGUAAUUCCAGCUCUCAUACUGCAUUGAAUUGUUGUUGCGGUUAAAAAGCUCGUAGUUGGAUCUCUACACGAUAGGAUGGUUCACUCUUUGAGUUGUAACUAUUACUAAGUGUUGUUUAUCAGAUUUAUAUUUCGUAAGAAAUAUUGUCUGAUGAGUUUACUUUGAAUAAAUCAGAGUGCUCAAAACAGGCGUAAGCUUGUAUGGUUUUGC
rnacentral:rRNA from 1 species